rnacentral:rRNA from 1 species
GAUGAACGCUGGCGGCGUGCCUAAUACAUGCAAGUCGAGCGAACGGACUAGAAGCUUGCUUCUCUGAUGUUAGCGGCGGACGGGUGAGUAACACGUGGAUAACCUACCUAUAAGACUGGGAUAACUUCGGGAAACCGGAGCUAAUACCGGAUGAUAUUUUGAACCGCAUGGUUCAAAAGUGAAAGACGGUCUUGCUGUCACUUAUAGAUGGAUCCGCGCUGCAUUAGCUAGUUGGUAAGGUAACGGCUUACCAAGGAAACGAUGCAUAGCCGACCUGAGAGGGUGAUCGGCCACACUGGAACUGAGACACGGUCCAGACUCCUACGGGAGGCAGCAGUAGGGAAUCUUCCGCAAUGGGCGAAAGCCUGACGGAGCAACGCCGCGUGAGUGAUGAAGGUCUUCGGAUCGUAAAACUCUGUUAUUAGGGAAGAACAUAUGUGUAAGUAACUGUGCACAUCUUGACGGUACCUAAUCAGAAAGCCACGGCUAACUACGUG